UUAAUUAGAGGCUACGCGAAGAACCUUACNUACAGGGAUUGACAUGACGGUAGUAGUGAAGCGAAAGCGGAACGACCCUUCGGGGAGCCGUCACAGGUGAUGCAUGGCUGUCGUCAGCUCGUGCCGUGAGGUGUUUGGUUAAGUCCACUAACGAGCGCAACCCCUAGUGCCAGUUACAAGUGUCUGGCGCGACUGCCGGUAUUAAGCCGGAGGAAGGKGGGGAUGACGUCAAGUCAGCAUGUCCUUUAUACCCUGGGCGACACACMCGCUACAAUGGCCAGCACAAUGGGUCGCCAAGCCGUGAGGCGGAGCCAAUCCUAAAAAGCUGGUCUCAGUUCGGAUUGCANNGGCUGCAACCCGCCUGCAUGAAGUCGGAGUUGCUA
rnacentral:rRNA from 1 species